rnacentral:rRNA from 1 species
CCAGACUCCUACGGGAGGCAGCAGUGAGGAAUAUUGGUCAAUGGGCGCGAGCCUGAACCAGCCAAGUAGCGUGAAGGAUGACUGCCCUACGGGUUGUAAACUUCUUUUAUAAAGGAAUAAAGUGAGGCACGUGUGCCUUUUUGUAUGUACUUUAUGAAUAAGGAUCGGCUAACUCCGUGCCAGCAGCCGCGGUAAUACGGAGGAUGCGAGCGUUAUCCGGAUUUAUUGGGUUUAAAGGGUGCGUAGGCGGAUUUUUAAGUCAGCGGUAAAAUGUCCGGGCUCAACCCGGGCCGGCCGUUGAAACUGGGGAUCUUGAGUGGGCGAGAAGUAUGCGGAAUGCGUGGUGUAGCGGUGAAAUGCAUAGAUAUCACGCAGAACUCCGAUUGCGAAGGCAGCAUACCGGCGCCCGACUGACGCUGAGGCACGAAAGCGUGGGGAUCGAACAGGAUUAGAUACCCUAGUA